GCAACGAUACUUCGACAGCGUGGCAGGUGUGUCGCCCACACAACCAGAUGGACAAGGCUUCCUUGGAGUCCCGCCUGAAAGCACGAGUGAGUGCAGCAGAGAGCUCCUGCCGUCCGAGAAUUCCAGCUCUUCAAUCUGUUCUGACGAAGGACCUAAGCCGCCGCCCCUGAUCUCUCCGGACCUCUCGACCACCACAGGUCCAAAGAAAUCGCCGGAACCACAUAGCCACGCCGAAGACCGCUAUGCAAAGUAUAAGCGGUUUAUGAGGGAGGAGU